rnacentral:rRNA from 1 species
CCUACGGGAGGCAGCAGUGGGGGAUAUUGCACAAUGGGGGGAACCCUGAUGCAGCGACGCCGCGUGGGUGAAGGAGUAUUUCGGUAUGUAAAGCCCUAUCAGCAGGGAAGAACAAUGACGGUACCUGACUAAGAAGCACCGGCUAACUACGUGCCAGCAGCCGCGGUAAUACGUAGGGUGCAAGCGUUAUCCGGAUUUACUGGGUGUAAAGGGAGCGCAGGCGGGGGGUUAAGUCUGGUGUGAAAGCCCGCGGCUUAACCGUGGGACUUCAUUGGAGACUGGGGCGCUAGAGGGCUGGAGGGGUAGGCGGAAUGCCUAGUGUAGCGGUGAAAUGCGUAGAUAUUAGGAGGAACACCGGUGGCGAAGGCGGCCUACUGGACGGUAACUGACGUUGAGGCUCGAAAGCGUGGGGAGCAAACAGGAUUAGAUACCCCUGUAGGC